rnacentral:rRNA from 1 species
UGGGGAAUAUUGCACAAUGGGCGCAAGCCUGAUGCAGCCAUGCCGCGUGUAUGAUGAAGGCCUUCGGGUUUUAAAGUACUUUCAGCGGGGAGGAAGGGAGUAAAGUUAAUACCUUUGUUCAUUGACGUUACCCGCAGAAGAAGCACCGGCUAACUCCGUGCCAGCAGCCGCGGUAAUACGGCGGGUGCAAGCGUUAAUCGGAAUUACUGGGCGUAAAGCGCACGCAGGCGGUUUGUUAAGUCAGAUGUGAAAUCCACGGGCUUAACCAGGGAAUUGCAUCGGAAACUGGUCAGCUAGAGUCUUGUAGAGGGAGGUAGAAUUCCAGGUGUAGCGGUGAAAUGCGUAGAGAUGAGGAGGAAUACCGGUGGCGAAGGCGGCCCCCUGGACAAAGACUGACGCUCAGGUGCGAAAGCGUGGGGAGCAAACAGG